GACGAACGCUGGCGGCGUGCCUAAUACAUGCAAGUCGAGCGGACGGAUGGGAGCUUGCUCCCAGACCGUCAGCGGCGGACGGGUGAGUAACACGUGGGCAACCUGCCUGUAAGACUGGGAUAACUCCGGGAAACCGGGGCUAAUACCGGAUAACUCUUUCCCUCACAUGAGGGAAAGCUGAAAGAUGGCAUCUCGCUAUCACUUACAGAUGGGCCCGCGGCGCAUUAGCUAGUUGGUGAGGUAACGGCUCACCAAGGCGACGAUGCGUAGCCGACCUGAGAGGGUGAUCGGCCACACUGGGACUGAGACACGGCCCAGACUCCUACGGGAGGCAGCAGUAGGGAAUCUUCCGCAAUGGACGAAAGUCUGACGGAGCAACGCCGCGUGAGUGAUGAAGGUUUUCGGAUCGUAAAACUCUGUUGUCAGGGAAGAACGAGUACCGGAGUAACUGCCGGUACCUUGACGGUACCUGACCAGAAAGCCACGGCUAACUACGUG
rnacentral:rRNA from 1 species